rnacentral:rRNA from 1 species
UACGUAGGGCGCAAGCGUUGUCCGGAAUUAUUGGGCGUAAAGAGUGCGUAGGCGGUUUCUCAAGUCCGCUGUGAAAUCCCCGGGCUCAACCUGGGAAUGGCAGUGGAACUAGGAGACUUGAAUCUGGCAGAGGGGGGUGGAAUUCCACGUGUAGCAGUGAAAUGCGUAGAGAUGUGGAGGAACACCGAUGGCGAAGGCAAUCCCCUGGACCUGUACUGACGCUCAUGCGACGAAAGCGUGG